rnacentral:rRNA from 1 species
GGGAUAACUUCAGGAAACUGGGGCUAAUACCGGAUAGGAGCUCCUGCUGCAUGGCGGGGGUUGGAAAGUUUCGGCGGUUGGGGAUGGACUCGCGGCUUAUCAGCUUGUUGGUGGGGUAGUGGCUUACCAAGGCUUUGACGGGUAGCCGGCCUGAGAGGGUGACCGGCCACAUUGGGACUGAGAUACGGCCCAG